rnacentral:antisense_RNA from 1 species
CUUCAACGAGCCCAGCCACAACGGCUGUUCGGCGUCCCGCUGCCCAUAGGUGGCGAGCAGCGCCUGCGCCUC